rnacentral:lncRNA from 1 species
GUCCUGCAAGAAAGAAAAGGCAAGAACGUCAGCGAUGGCUCCACUGACUGAUUAAGGCAAAGGAAGUCGCCACUGUGCCCUGGAUCUGUUCCUGAAGGAUUACAGCAUGAAGAAAAAUAAUGUGGGUAGCCGGGCUUCAUCUUAGCAACACGAGCACCUCAUUUUGGUUUUCAGUUGGUCUUUUAAUGAACAAAUGUGUUGGAAUAAUUAAGUGAUUCACGGAGGUGCAGUGAGGCGAAGGUUCCAUGUAGCCACAGGUUGGAAGAAA